rnacentral:rRNA from 1 species
GACGAACGCUGGCGGCGUGCUUAACACAUGCAAGUCGAACGGAAAGGCCCUGCUUUUGUGGGGUGCUCGAGUGGCGAACGGGUGAGUAACACGUGAGUAACCUGCCCUUGACUUUGGGAUAACUUCAGGAAACUGGGGCUAAUACCGGAUAGGAGCUCCUGCUGCAUGGUGGGGGUUGGAAAGUUUCGGCGGUUGGGGAUGUACUCGCGGCUUAUCAGCUUGUUGGUGGGGUAGUGGCUUACCAAGGCUUUGACGGGUAGCCGGCCUGAGAGGGUGACCGGCCACAUUGGGACUGAGAUACGGCCCAGACUCCUACGGGAGGCAGCAGUGGGGAAUAGUGCACAAUGGGCGGAAGCCUGAUGCAGCAACGCCGCGUGCGGGAUGACGGCCUUCGGGUUGUAAACCGCUUUCGCCUGUGACGAAGCGUGAGUGACGGUAAUGGGUAAAGAAGCACCGGCUAACUACGUG